rnacentral:rRNA from 1 species
GACGAACGCUGGCGGCGUGCUUAACACAUGCAAGUCGAACGGAAAGGCCCUGCUUUUGUGGGGUGCUCGAGUGGCGAACGGGUGAGUAACACGUGAGUAACCUGCCCUUGACUUUGGGAUAACUUCAGGAAACUGGGGCUAAUACCGGAUAGGAGCUCCUGCUGCAUGGUGGGGGUUGGAAAGUUUCGGCGGUUGGGGAUGGACUCGCGGCUUAUCAGCUUGUUGGUGGGGUAGUGGCUUACCAAGGCUUUGACGGGUAGCCGGCCUGAGAGGGUGACCGGCCACAUGGGGACUGAGAGACGGACCAGACUCCUACGGGAGGCAGCAGUGGGGAAUAUUGCACAAUGGGCGGAAGCCUGAUGCAGCAACGCCGCGUGCGGGAUGACGGCCUUCGGGUUGUAAACCGCUUUCGCCUGUGACGAAGCGUGAGUGACGGUAAUGGGUAAAGAAGCACCGGCUAACUACGUG